AUUGAACGCUGGCGGCAUGCCUUACACAUGCAAGUCGAACGGUAACGGGCCUUCGGGUGCCGAUGAGUGGCGAACGGGUGAGUAAUGUAUCGGAACGUACCAUUGAGUGGGGGAUAACGUAGCGAAAGUUACGCUAAUACCGCAUAUUCUCUCCGGAGGAAAGCAGGGGACCGCAAGGCCUUGCGCUCUUUGAGCGGCCGAUAUCAGAUUAGCUAGUUGGUGGGGUAAAAGCUCACCAAGGCGACGAUCUGUAGCGGGUCUGAGAGGAUGAUCCGCCACACUGGAACUGAGACACGGUCCAGACUCCUACGGGAGGCAGCAGUGGGGAAUUUUGGACAAUGGGGGCAACCCUGAUCCAGCCAUGCCGCGUGAGUGAAGAAGGCCUUCGGGUUGUAAAGCUCUUUCAGCCGGGAAGAAAUCGCAUGGGCUAAUACCCCGUGCGGAUGACGGUACCGGAAUAAGAAGCACCGGCUAACUACGUGCCAGCCGCCGCCGUAAAAC
rnacentral:rRNA from 1 species